rnacentral:rRNA from 1 species
AACGAACGCUGGCGGCAGGCCUAACACAUGCAAGUCGAACGGGAUCUUCGGAUCUAGUGGCGGACGGGUGAGUAACGCGUGGGAACGUGCCCUUUGGUUCGGAAUAGCCCUGGGAAACUGGGAGUAAUACCGGAUGUGGUCGAGAGACGAAAGAUUUAUCGCCAAAGGAUCGGCCCGCGUUGGAUUAGGUAGUUGGUGGGGUAAUGGCCUACCAAGCCGACGAUCCAUAGCUGGUUUGAGAGGAUGAUCAGCCACACUGGGACUGAGACACGGCCCAGACUCCUACGGGAGGCAGCGGUGGGGAAUCUUAAACUAUGGGGGAAACCCUGAUCUAGCCAUGCCGCGUGGGCGAUGAAGGCCUUAGGGUUGUAAAGCUCUUUCGUGGGGGAAGAUAAUGACUGUACCCCAAGAAGAAGCCCCGGCUAACUCCGUGCCAGCCGCCGCCGUAACAC